UUGCCUCAGUAACGGCGAGUGAAGCGGCAACAGCUCAAAUUUGAAAUCUGGCUUCGGCCCGAGUUGUAAUUUGUAGAGGAUGCUUCGGCUUACGUACCGGUCUAAGUUCCUUGGAACAGGACGUCACAGAGGGUGAGAAUCCCGUUUGUGGCCGGCACUUCCGCCAUGUGAAGCUCCUUCGACGAGUCGAGUUGUUUGGGAAUGCAGCUCUAAAUGGGAGGUAAAUUUCUUCUAAAGCUAAAUACCGGCCAGAGACCGAUAGCGCACAAGUAGAGUGAUCGAAAGAUGAAAAGCACUUUGGAAAGAGAGUUAAAAAGUACGUGAAAUUGUUGAAAGGGAAGCGCUUGCGACCAGACUUGCCCGCGGAUGCUCAACCGGUCCUUCGGCCGGUGCACUCUUCCGCGGUCAGGCCAGCAUCAGUUCGGGCGGUCGGAUAAAGGCCUUGGGAAUGUGGCUCUCUUCGGGGAGUGUUAUAGCCCUUGGUGCAAUACGGCCCGCCUGGACUGAGGCCCGCGCUUCGGCUAGGAUGCUGGCGUAAUGGUCGUAAGCGGCCCGUCUUGAAACACGGACCAAGGAGUCUAACAUCUAUGCGAGUGUUUGGGUGUCAAACCCGUGCGCGAAAUGAAAGUGAACGGAGGUGGGAACCUUAGGGUGCACCAUCGACCGAUCCUGAUGUCUUCGGAUGGAUUUGAGUAAGAGCAUAGCUGUUGGGACCCGAAAGAUGGUGAACUAUGCCUGAAUAGGGUGAAGCCAGAGGAAACUCUGGUGGAGGCUCGCAGCGGUUCUGACGUGCAAAUCGAUCGUCAAAUUUGGGUAUAGGGGCGAAA
rnacentral:rRNA from 1 species